CUUGUAAAGUCCUUCUUAGAGAGACAGAUCCUUUCUAAGGGGAAGAUAUAAUACACGACAGGUAGAACUUGUGUGCAGAGCGCGGUCCAUGCCCAGUGUAUUGAGAAGGUGGGCAGAAAAUCUCCUGGAAAAGCAUGCAUGGGAACCAGCACGAGGUUGCCUUCUAAUUCACGUGUCUCAUCAUUUCACUGAAGAUGUAUGGAACGCUUCCCCCUUUCAAAGUGUUAAGUACUUUGCUGUCAGCAUCACCAUCACAGCCUGCGAACUCGACACUAAAGAGAGAGAAGUGGAAAAGGCAAAACAGAUCUACACGUUGGCUUCCAGAUGCACUGCUGCAGGUGAGCAGUGAACAGUUUUUGCUGUCAGUCCUCAUCUCCCCACUUGCUGCUUUCCACAACCUCCGUUCCUCUCUGACUCUCCCUGGGCAACUUGUGUGGACCUCCAUCUGCCUCAGCGUGUCUCCCCAGCCUGGCUGACUUCAGAGGUGACUUCAUGCUGCAGAUCCAUGGAGCAGGACACAGCCCUCAAAUUCAUGUGGCUUGUAAACUGAUAUCGUUACUGAAAUGAAAUAGUUACUGACAGGGACAAAGGUGGCCCUCUGUGUCCUAUCUUGUCCACCUAGGGCACUGCUACAUGGAAGCGGGCCUUUUGGCCAGGUCUACCAGAUGAUUAACACUUUCAUAAAAACCAGCACCUUACAGCUGUGUUCAUCAAAUCAGACAGUGCCUGUGUCAAAUCCACUGUCUCCCAGUGUUGCCCUGUCCCUGAUUUCCACACAUGAAAUCAAUUACCACACAUUAGCGGAUGUUUAACACUUUAACGGAGUAUUUUUCUCUACCAUUGUUUGCAUAGAGGGGACAUGAGGAAUCAUUACCAAGUGACCAGCAAUGGAUUUUGUAUUGGCAGAGAGGAGAGGCUGGAGCUUAGUGAAGUGAAUUUAGAAUGCCCCAGGGAACAUUACAAAGUCCCUAUGCCGGGGCUCCUAGUGGCUGAAGAGGUUGAGAAAGCUGCACGUGGAGUGCGGAUUCACUGGAAAAUUCUGAAAGUCCAUGUGCAAAUCUGGGGAAUGCCAAUCACUUCCUCUGAAUCUCAUAGAUGUACACCUCGGCUCACACUCACAUUCUCCAGCCAUCCUGCCUAGUGCUGGCUUUUGCUCAUGGUAGGCUUCACACAGCACGUUCCUCACCUGAGGAGGAACAGUGUCAUUCUGGAAGGCAUGGUGACAUGGCUUGGCUGUGUCCCCACCCAAAUCUCAUCUUGAAUUGUAGCUCCUAUAAUCCUCAUGUGUUGUGGGAGGGACCUGGUGGGAGGUAAUUGAAUCACGAGGGGCAGGUUUUUCCCAUGUGGUUCUUCUGAUAGUGAAUAAGUCUCAUGGGAUCUGAUGGUUUAAUAAAGGGCAGUUUCCCUGCACACCCUCUCUUGCCUGUAGCUGUGUAAAACAUGCCUUUGUUCCUCCUUCAUCUUCCGCCAUGAUUGUGAGGCCUCCCUACCUAUGUGGAACUGUGAGUGCAUUAAA
rnacentral:lncRNA from 10 species